GCACUGGGUGGGUGGGUAGGAGAGCACUCGAGAGGCACGGAGGGAUGCUGGAGGAGAGCCAGCAGCGGGGGCAUUAAAGCAGAGCGCGCGUCUCCCCAGCCGGCACAGGGAGGAAUGAGCAAGAGAGGGACCAUCAAAAAGCCUCCAGUUUUCCCUCCUCCUCCAUCUUCUCCUCCGAAAUCAGUUCCUGUUUCCGGUGUCGACGAAGACAUUUCACUACAACCAUGGAAAGGAUCAAAAGAGCUAAUGCUCCACCCACCGAUGCCCCAAUGGCGAC